CAGAUGAUGAUUCAGAUAAUCAUUAUGAACAUAUAUUUACACACAUAAAUUCGAGCUUAUAUUUUUUAAGUAUAUCUAAUACACAUAUAGAAAAAGAAACUAAUUUAUAUAUUCAAAAUGAAAAGUAUAUUAAUUAUACAGAUAUAGCUUUUAGAAAAUUAAAAUUUAAUAAAAAAUUGUUUAUAAAUUUAGAUACGUACAAUUCUUGGGUUAUUAUAAAAAAAAAUAUUUUACUAAAUGAAUAUUUGAGUUUGUUAAAAAAAAAUAAUUUAGUCGAUAUAAAUGAUGUGAUAUAUGACUUGGUAAAUAUGUCUGAUCAAAUCUGUAAUUGUCAUACUAUGAUAUAUGUAAAUGACGAUUUUCUGUUAAUUAAUAAUAAAACCAAAGAAAUUUUGGGUGUUAAAAAAAUUGACGAAACCUUUAAUAAUAAUAAUAACAACAUCAAUGAAGGGAGUACUAAUGAUGACUAUACCGACAUUAUAAAUGAAAAAAAACAAAAAAAAAAAUGUAUACAUAAACAAAAAUGAAAAAAGUAGUUAUAAUAAUAACAGCGAAGCAGAUAUAUACAAAUUAGUACUAAUAAAAAAAAUAAACAUAAAUUAUUUAUUCAGUAGUAGUAAAACCAAUAUAAAUAUUAUUUUCUCAUUUCAUAAUGUAUGUUUAAAUAAUUUUAACCAACUUGAUUCACACAAUUCGUAUUUGUUGAUACAUAAUUAUAAUUUGAGUAGGGACAGUCUUGUACUUAAUAAUGUUAUGUUUAAUAGUGUUCCUUAUAAUACUAAUUCCAGUAGCUCAUAUCUGUAUAAUAAUAACAGUAUUAGUUAUAACCUAAUUGGAACAAACGAACCAAACGCAUUAGCAAAUAAGAAAUUUACUGAUUUACAACUUACGAAUAAUGACGAUUUCACUUACUUUAAUAAUUAUAUUACUCAAAAAAUAGUAAGCAACUAUAACACAUAUAGUUUAUACAUAAAAGAAUGUUUAUUUAUUAUUGAUAUAUUUUACAUACUAAAUAACAGUUACGGAAAUUUGAUCUAUAUAAAAGAAUAUUACCAAUAUGAUCAUACUAUUUAUUAUACAAGUGUUGAAAAUAUUUUAAAAACCAAGAAGAAAAAAAAAAACAAAAAAACAAAAAAAAAUUUUAAUAAAGGAAAUAACAAUGACAUUGGUAACGAUAACAGCAAUAGCGAAAGAAGUGAAAGUAGCAGCAACAAUUCUAUUUGUUCAUUAACCUCUUCAUUAAAUAGCGAAAAUAACAAAAAUAAUGGAACAUCUUCAUUAAAAAAUGCAGACAGUCAUAGUUCGACAUGCAGUACAUACGACAGCUCUAACGAAUCGGACGUAACUACAAUUUGGACUAAAAACUACGACAAUUAUAACAAAAAACAAUUCAACAGUAGUGAGAAACAAUUUUUUAAAAAUUUAGAUAAUGAUUUAACUUAUAUAAUUCCUAAGUAUAAAAUAGUGUGUCACCCAUGUUUGUUUAGCAAUAAUAACAACAACAAUAAUAACAAUAUCAAUGACAGUGAUAAACAAAACAAUGUUAGUAAUGUCGAAACAACAAAAGAGAUUAUAAAAUUAGGUAUAUAUUUAAGAAGAAUAGAAAAGUUUAUCGAAAUAAAUAAAAGAAGUCAAGUUUGCAACUCAACUUUUGAUAUCUUUUGUUGUUGUUUAUAUAAUAUAUGUUUACAUAUACUCAAUCACAUUAAUAAGGUAGAUGAAAAUAUAAGAAAUAUAUUUAACUUUACUAAGGUUAAUAUGCAUGAUAAUGUUAAUAGCAAUGAUAAACAGACAAGUGACCUAGCUUUAUGUUUAUUUAAUGAAAAAAGCUUAU
ensembl:lncRNA